rnacentral:rRNA from 1 species
AGAGUUUGAUCCUGGCUCAGAAUCAACGCUGGCGGCGUGCUUAACACAUGCAAGUCGAACGAUGAAGCCCUUCGGGGUGGAUUAGUGGCGAACGGGUGAGUAACACGUGGGCAAUCUGCCUGCACUCUGGGACAAGCCCUGGAAACGGGGUCUAAUACCGGAUACGACCGUGGAGCGCAUGCUUCGUGGUGGAAAGCUCC